rnacentral:rRNA from 1 species
AACGAACGCUGGCGGCAGGCUUAACACAUGCAAGUCGAGCGCCCCGCCAGGGGAGCGGCAGACGGGUGAGUAACGCGUGGGAACGUACCCUUAUCUUCGGGAUAGCUCCGGGAAACUGGAAUUAAUACCGAAUGUGCCCUUUGGGGGAAAGAUUUAUCGGACAAGGAUCGGCCCGCGUUGGAUUAGCUAGUUGGUGGGGUAAAGGCCUACCAAGGCGACGAUCCAUAGCUGGUCUGAGAGGAUGAUCAGCCACAUUGGGACUGAGACACGGCCCAAACUCCUAGGGGGGGUGGCAGGGGGGAAGAGGGUAAGAGGGGCGGAAGGCGGAUUCAGCAACGACGGGUGCGGGAGGAGGGCCGGCGGGUUGUAAAGGGCGUGCGCCUGGGAAGAAGCGUGAGGGACGGGAAUGGGUAAAGAAGAACAGGAUAACUAAGGG